GAAGUCACCCUCAAGGUUCUGUUGGAAGUCAAACCACCGCUCUACUCCCAGAGUGUGGGACAGGAGGAACUGUGGGGGAGGGGACUUUCGGAGAGUGUCAUUAGGAGUCCCGGCAGCUUAAAAUCCUCACUGUCUCUCUGAGACCCUUCAAAACACGUUCACUAGGGUUAUGAUGUUAUUAAAUAAGACCCAGCCAGGCUGGGCUGCUUUUGCUGUCAUUUUUAAACUAAAGAGGUAGGUACAGCAUCUGAAGGAAAGGUAUGAGGGGUGUUGGAGCUGGGUAGGACCUCCCACGCCAUAGCCAGAAAUGGCAAGUGAUUUGGGCUUGAUGGUGCCCCUCCCCCGGGGCGGUGAGGACAGAGUAACAGGUACAUUUGCUGAGGGUACAAACCACGGGAAGCAGAGCCCCGUGAUGUCGCCUUGGACUGUUCAGUAGGGUGAGAGCAUUGUGACGCUGAGCAUCUUACCUCAGCUUCCUGGCAAACAGUAUGCUUGGUAGAUAUCUACCAAGGUGAAGGAGGUCUGGAUGUGCCAAAGUGCAGGCGAGGUUUCUCUGAGUAAACAAACAGACCUCUCCUCCCACCACCACUUCUGUGGCAGAAGAGUGGGUGACCGCCAUGAGACAGCUAUACCCUUGAAUGGAGGCUGGAAUGUGUGGGCUGCUAAGGCUUCUACAUAGUGAUGACCUCCCCACUGGCGAUAUGGGAUCCGUGACCUUUCUUCUGUGUGAUGGUGGGACUGAAGGCGAUGAAGGACUUUGUCAGCAGAGGAAACAGCCUGGGGCAAAAUUCCACUGACUCCAGAAAGCAAACUGGGUUUUCUGAGAAGUUACAAAUAUGGUUUGAAGACUCACUCAGCCCUCGCCUUGGCCAGCCUUUCCCUUGGCAUUGUGUGCCAACUCCCUAGGAUUGCACACGAAAGGCUGGGGAUUACUACGGUCUGCCUCUGUCAACAUCAGCUAUGCGAACUUCGAGGAA